rnacentral:misc_RNA from 1 species
ACACCUCAACUCUUCAUGGUUUUCCAUGAUGAGCUUGGACUUUGGGGGACUUGCUGGCCUACAGUCAGCUCCUCUAAAAUAAAUCAGCUCACCAGUGUUUGGUGGGUAUCGCAGGUGUGAUAACUAUCUACGCUUGUGGCUUUCCACCAAGUAACCUUCAGCAGUGGAGGUUCACUGGAGCUCACAGACGUCUCUCCUCAGUGAGGGACAGCCCUUUGAAU